rnacentral:rRNA from 1 species
UUGAAGACGACGAGGUAGAUAGGUUGGAGGUGGAAGUGCAGCAAUGCAUGGAGCUGACCAAUACUAAUCGGUCGAGGGCUUAUCCAAGAAC